AUCACAGCUCUCCUCUCAUCUCGGCUCGGAAAGGAUGCGGCGGCGGUGAGGCUCGUACCUGUCCAGCUAAGCGACGGGGCGAGGUGGAAAUGCUGGCCCUGCCGGUCCGCGACAGUUUGAAGGAGGCCUGUUUGGGGCCUCUCAACCAGUGGCCGAGCGGCUCCUGCAGUCGCUGGAGUACUAGCAGAGGCGGUGUUUUGGCGGGAGGAGUGGGCUUCAAAAAGCAUUGUCCUUUAUUUCAGUGUGUUCAUGAACGAUCUGAAGCCCGUGCAUAUGUGCCUAUGCUGCGGCCCAGACCUGGCCGCUGCUCCACCCCGCCUCUGAGAAGUUGCUCUGACGGUUCAGGAUCCACAGGAUCCCUCGUGUUUCAAGAAUGCUCUCCCUUCCACGUCGCCAGAGGUGCCCGUGAACUUCCACACAAAGCGCAUGCCUCAAAGGCUGUGGUGAUACAGCCUUCCCCAAGUCUUCUUCCUUUUCUGGAAUUUUCUUCCAAGCCUGAAAUCCAUUUUGCAAGUUUUGAUUUAAAUGAGCAGGUGCAGAGGUCCAAGCACUUAGGCCAUCUUCCACUGCUUUCCCUGGUCAUUAGCAGAGAGCUGGAUCGGAAGAGGAGCAGCUAGGACUCGAACCCAUGCCCAUGUGGGAUGCCAGCAUUGCAGGCAGAGGCCUAGCCUGCUACACCACAGCACCAGCCCCUAGCUAUAUAUCUUCUUUGAUGAAAUGUCUGUUUAUGUCUUUUGCUCAUUUUCUGAUUGUAUUGCUUACAUUAUUUUACUAUCGAAUUUUGAGAGCUCUUUACAUAUUCUAGAUAUAAAUGAAUUUUGACCAGUAUGUAAUUUCUCUUGGUCUGGCAUUUGUCUUUUAAUCUUCUUAAUGUGGUCUUUUGUAGAGUGAAGGUUUUAAUUUUGAUAAGGUCCAAUUUAAUUUGAUUACAAAGUUUAGUUCAGGAACCUUUCCUCUCCCUCUGUAGAUGUCCAAUUGCUCCAGGACCAUUUGUUGAAAAGGCAGUCCUCCAUGGAACUGUUUUUUUGUUUUUGUUUUUGUUUUUGUUUUUUACUUUGUCAACAAUCAGCUGGACAUGUUGGUGUGGGUCUUCUCCAUUUCUGUGUUUUCUCUUCAGUUCAAUGUGUUUAUCCUUCUCCCAGUACCACGCUGUCUUGGGUAUUGUGGUGAAAUAAUAAGCCUUAACAUCAGAUAGAGUUUAUUCCUCCCACUUUAUUCUUUUUCAAAAUCUUUCUAGGCCCUUUGCCUAAAAGGGCAUUUUAAAAUAUGUAUGAUGAGCUGAUAAGAAAGUAAGACGAUCUAAGACCAAAAACUAAGUGAAAACUGGAACUCAGAGAGGUGGCUCCAGAGCCUCACACGCUGCUGCUAAGGUGUCGCAAAGUGCAGGUCUUACCCAAAAUUAGAAAUCCAGUAGAAGGCGCUUGGCAUAAAGCCGAAACCCCAAAGAACUAAAGAAUUGCAUCCUCAUGUAGGAGUAGACUGACAGACCCGCUGUGCUGUGGUGGAUUAAGCUGCCACUUACGAUGAUGUGGCUUCCCAUAUCAGAGUGCCAGUUCAAGUCCCUGCUGCUCCACUUCUGAUCCAGCUCCCUGCUAAUGUACUUGGGAAAGCAGCAGAGGAUGGUCCAGAUACUUGGGCCUAUGGAAGACACCAGGAUGGAGUUCCUGGCCCCAGCUGUUGCAGUGAUUUGAGGAGUGAACCAGAAGAUAGAACAUCUCUUUAUCUCUCUCACUCUGUGUAUGUGUGUCACUCUGCCUUUUGAAUAAAUAAAUCCACUCAUGGUGGAUUAAAAAUAUGCUAGCACUUAAACUGCCCUGUGAGACUGUUCAGAUAAUUGUCUGGAACCUCGGUGCCAACUGGAGCUAUUUUAUUUUUCUCUUUUAAAUAUUUUCAGAUAUUUAUAACCAUUAUAUAUGGUUUUCCUACAUGAAUUCCUUAUUGAUCCUAAAAACAAAACAGGGAGAAUUUAAGUGGUUUUGAGUGGACGGUACCUCCAAGUACCUGGCAGAAGAACUGCAAAUCCUCUCUGGAUGAACUCAUCUUCAAUGUAGGCCUUGGGGAAUUUCCACAGAUACAGUUCCAAGAAAAGCAAAUUGUGGUCGAAAAUUGAAAACAAGUAAGAAACAAGGUACCAAGAAUAAAAACCAGUCACAGUAGAGACAGGAAAAAAGAAGGAAAAUUAGAAAAUACUUCAAUGUCUGACUAAUAGAGAACCUCAAAGCAGAAAACAGGAUAUGUGACACAGAGUGUGUGUGUGUGAGUAUAAAAGAAACACAAGAAUAUUUUCCUGAAUUGAAUAAGCCUUUCCAGAUUAAAUAGUGUAUAUUUGUCCAGCACAGUAAAAAAAUAAUAAAAAAACAAGACCCAUCUUUGCGAAAUAUCAGAAUGCUACUGGAGAUCCUAAAAUCUUUCGAAAAGAGAAUAAAAAUGGAACAGAAAUCAUAAUGUGUCUCAAUACAAGAUUGGGAGACAGUGGACAAUGGUCUGGUUCCUUUAAAAUUCCAUGAAAAACACAUUAUUAACCUAGAAUUCUAUUAUAGCCAAAUUAUCAGCAGAAGAUGAUAGAAUAAAGACAUAUGUCAGAAUGUAGUGAGUUGGGGCUGGCGCUGUGGCGCAGUAGGUUAAUCCUCCGCCUGCAGCACCGGCAUCCCAUACGGAUGCCGAUUCUAGUCCCAGCCCCUCCUCUUCCAUUCCAGCUCUCUGCUAUGCCCUGGGAAAGCAGUAAAAGAUGGCCCAAGUGUUUGGGCCCCUGCACCCAUGUGGGAGACUGGGAAGAAGCACCCGGCUCCUGGCUUCAGAUUGGCACAGCUCCGGCCGUUGCAGCCACAGCUCUAGCCAUUGCAGCCAUCUGGGGAAUGAACCAACAGAAGGAAGACCUUUCUCUCUGUCUCUUCCUCUCACUGUCUGUAACUCUACCUCUCAAAUAAAUAAAUAAAUAAAUCUUUUAAAAAAAAGUGUGACCUCCCUUCAUAAGUGAGCCACUGCAGCGUGCACUCUGGGAAAUAGGAAAGAGAAAGGCAGUAAAUCUAGGAGGGGGGAUGCCAAGUGCACACACAACUGGUGAAAGAAAAUACUUGGAAUGGAGAAAACCUAUCCUGACUGACUCCUGAGAUGGAAAACCCUGCAAGGCAGUCUCCAGGGAAAGAAAAUGAUAAAGUACUUGACAUGUUGAAGCAUUUGAAAAAUAUAUGAACAUGUACUUUACAGAUCUGAUGGGGCCUAUGGAAAAAUUAGAAGUAGAUACAUAAAAAAAAAAAAA